GACGUAGGGGGCCAGCGUUGCUCGGAAUUACUGGGCGUAAAGGGUUCGUAGGCGGUGCGGUAAGUCGGAAGUGAAAUCUCUGGGCUUAACUCAGAGGCUGCUUUCGAAACUGCCGUGCUGGAGUGCGGGAGAGGCGAGUGGAAUUCCCGGUGUAGCGGUGAAAUGCGCAGAUAUCGGGAGGAACACCAGUAGCGAAGGCGGCACUCUGGGCCGGUACGUGACGCUGAGGAGCGAAAGCGUGGGGAGCAA
rnacentral:rRNA from 1 species